rnacentral:rRNA from 1 species
UGGGGAAUAUUGGACAAUGGGGGAAACCCUGAUCCAGCGACGCCGCGUGUGUGAAGAAGGCCUGCGGGUUGUAAAGCACUUUCGGUGGGAACGAAAUAUGCCGGGCUAAUACCCCGGUAGGCUGACGUUACUCAAUGAAGAAGCACCGGCUAACUCUGUGCCAGCAGCCGCGGUAAUACAGAGGGUGCGAGCGUUAAUCGGAAUUACUGGGCGUAAAGCGCGCGUAGGCGGCUUAACAAGUCAGAGGUGAAAGCCUGGAGCUCAACUCCAGAACUGCCUUUGAAACUGUUAAGCUUGAGUGUCGGAGGGGAUAGCGGAAUUUCUAAUGUAGAGGUGAAAUUCGUAGAUAUUAGAAGGAACACCGGUGGCGAAGGCGGCUAUCUGGACGACAACUGACGCUGAGGCGCGAAAGCGUGGGGAUCAAACAGGAUUAGAUACCCAAGUAGUCCCUGAGCGGGCUGGCAAGGCGCAU